rnacentral:sRNA from 1 species
AUUCUGCCCCACGGGGAAGGGAUGAGAAGCUUCGACUAAGGUUCGACUCGAGCGAAGCGAGAGAACGUUGCCGCAGGCAACGGCCCGAAGGGCGAGGAGCGAUAGCGACGAGUUAUCCUUCCCCACCACCA